CAUGUUACUUGCGUGCUUACCAUGCAGUCGAGCGUAAGGCCCUUCGGGGUACACGAGCGGCGAACGGGUGAGUAACACGUGAGCAACCUGCCCCUGACUCCGGGAUAAGCCGGGGAAACCCGGUCUAAUACCGGAUGGGACGCCUCGUCGCAUGGCGGGGUGUGGAAAGGUGUCUUUCCGGUCAGGGAGGGGCUCGCGGCCUAUCAGCUUGUUGGUGGGGUGAAGGCCUACCAAGGCGAUUACGGGUAGCCGGCCUGAGAGGGCGACCGGCCACACUGGGACUGAGACACGGCCCAGACUCCUACGGGAGGCAGCAGUGGGGAAUAUUGCGCAAUGGGCGGAAGCCUGACGCAGCGACGCCGCGUGGGGGAUGACGGCCUUCGGGUUGUAAACCUCUUUUACCACCGACGCAGGCCCGCGCUUCUGUGCGGGUUGACGGUAGGUGGGGAAUAAGGACCGGCCAACUACGUGCCAGCAGCCGCGGUAAUACGUAGGGUCCGAGCGUUGUCCGGAAUUAUUGGGCGUAAAGAGCUCGUAGGUGGCGUGUCGCGUCUGCUGUGUAAGUCCGGGGCUUAACUCCGGUUUUGCAGUGGAUACGGGCAUGCUAGAGGUAGGCAGGGGAGACUGGAAUUCCUGGUGUAGCGGUGAAAUGCGCAGAUAUCAGGAGGAACACCGGUGGCGAAGGCGGGUCUCUGGGCCUUACCUGACGCUGAGGAGCGAAAGCGUGGGGAGCGAACAGGAUUAGAUACCCUGGUAGUCCACGCUGUAAACGUUGGGCGCUAGGUGUGGGGACUUUCCACGGGUUCCGUGCCGUAGCUAACGCAUUAAGCGCCCGCCUGGGGAGUACGGCCGCAGGCUAACUCAAAGGAAUUGACGGGGGCCCGCACAGCGGCUGAGCUUGUGCUUAAUCGACGCAACGCGAAGAACCUUUACCAAGGUUGG
rnacentral:rRNA from 1 species